UACGUUGUCUGCUAUACGCAGGAAGACCCGCUGAACUUGAAGCAAAAA
rnacentral:rRNA from 1 species